GGGCAGCGGGGUAGUGCUUGCACUACUGCCGGCGACCGGCGCACGGGUGAGUAACACGUAUGGAACCUGCCCGCAGCAGGGGGAUAAGCGGAAGAAAUUCCGUCUAAUACCGCGUAAGAACGUUGGGAGGCAUCUCCCGAUGUUUAAAGAUUUAUCGGCUGCGGAUGGCCAUGCGGCGCAUUAGCUAGUCGGCGGGGUAACGGCCCACCGAGGCGACGAUGCGUAGGGGUUCUGAGAGGAAGGUCCCCCACACUGGUACUGAGACACGGACCAGACUCCUACGGGAGGCAGCAGUGAGGAAUAUUGGUCAAUGGCCGAGAGGCUGAACCAGCCAAGUCGCGUGAGGGAAGACGGCCCUACGGGUUGUAAACCUCUUUUGUCGGGGAGCAAAGCGAACCACGUGUGGUUCAUUGAGAGUACCCGAAGAAAAAGCAUCGGCUAACUCCGUGCCAGCAGCCGCGGUAAUACGGAGGAUGCGAGCGUUAUCCGGAUUUAUUGGGUUUAAAGGGUGCGCAGGCGGAGGUGCAAGUCAGCGGUCAAAUUGCGGGGCUCAACCCCGUACUGCCGUUGAAACUGCAUCCCUUGAGUGCGCGAGAAGUAUGCGGAAUGCGUGGUGUAGCGGUGAAAUGCAUAGAUAUCACGCAGAACUCCGAUUGCGAAGGCAGCAUACCGGCGCGCAACUGACGCUCAUGCACGAAAGCGUGGGUAUCGAACAGGAUUAGAUACCCUGGUAGUCCACGCAGUAAACGAUGAACACUAACUGUUCGGCCAGAAUGAUGGCUGAGUGGUACAGCGAAAGCGUUAAGUGUUCCACCUGGGGAGUACGCCGGCAACGGUGAAACUCAAAGGAAUUGACGGGGGCCCGCACAAGCGGAGGAACAUGUGGUUUAAUUCGAUGAUACGCGAGGAACCUUACCCGGGCUCAAACGACACAGGAAUACUUUUGAAAGGAGGUAGCCCUACGGGGUCUGUGUCGAGGUGCUGCAUGGUUGUCGUCAGCUCGUGCCGUGAGGUGUCGGCUUAAGUGCCAUAACGAGCGCAACCCCUAUCGCCAGUUACCAUCAAGUAAAGUUGGGGACUCUGGCGAGACUGCCGGCGCAAGCUGAGAGGAAGGCGGGGAUGACGUCAAAUCAGCACGGCCCUUACGUCCGGGGCGACACACGUGUUACAAUGGCAGGUACAGAGAGAAGCCAGGUGGUGACACCGAGCGGAACUCGAAAGCCUGUCUCAGUUCGGAUCGGAGUCUGCAACCCGACUCCGUGAAGCUGGAUUCGCUAGUAAUCGC
rnacentral:rRNA from 1 species